rnacentral:rRNA from 1 species
UACGGAGGGAGGGAGCGUUAAUCGGAAUUACUGGGCGUAAAGGGCGCGUAGGCGGUGGGUUACGUCUGCCGUGAAAUCCCCGGGCUCAACCUGGGAAUGGCGGUGGAAACGGGCUGACUGGAGUAGGGGAGAGGGUGAUGGAAUUGCAGGUGUAGCGGUGAAAUGCGUAGAGAUCUGGAGGAACACCAGUGGCGAGGGCGGUCACCUGGGCCAAGACUGACGCUGAGGCGCGAAAGCGUGGGGAGCAAACAGG